UCAGCAUGCACCCGCUCUGCAUCCCAUGUGUAUAGACAUAUGUACAUAUAUAUAUAUAUAUUUAUAUAUGUAUGCAUAUAUAGGUAUAUGUAUAUACAUGUGUGUGUGUGUGUGUAUAUAUAUAUAUAUAUAUAUAUAUAUACACACACACACACACACACACACAUAUAUAUAUAUAUUGUGGCACUAAGGCAGGUUUGAGGGUAAUGAAAGGGUGUUUUUCCCAGUCCUUUCUCCUAGCUGAGCUAGCAGAGAUGCUCAUCAGGUGCCUAAUUAAUGAGGCCAGCAGAAAUGUGGGAAGUCUAGAUAUAAGGAAAGGAAACAGAAUAGUCUAGUCUGGGCUCACCCAGGAAAACAGCAUGUCGCUGUAGGGGGAGACACAUGGACCCUGUUGAGGAAACACACAGCAGGAGCUGUGAGUGGUCCAAGAAGUGGUGUGAACUGUGAGUAAAACAGGUUGCAGGGGCACAUGUUUUAUGCUGGCUGAGGGUAGCUCACCAGUUAGUAGUCAGGGCAUGCUUACAUGUGUAGUCAGUGACCAGACGGUCUAGGACUUCGGUUUGUUCCUGAGUUAUAUUUUGUUUUACCUGUAACCUGUGUAAAUAAAGCUCGUGAGGUGCCAGACUUGUAUGCUUAACGGUUGUCUGGCGAGUUAUUGCGAGGAAACGUGUCCCGUGGUAAGUGACCAGGACGAUCCCAGAGCUAAUCCCCGAGACGGAAUGUCACAAUAUAUAUGUACAUAUAUCUAUACACAUACAUAAAUACAAAUAUAUAUACACACAUAUACAUAUAUAUACACACAUACAUAUAUAUAUAUGCAUACAUAUUUAUUUAUACAUAUAUGUACAUUCAUAUAUACAUACAAAUACAUAUUUAUAUAUAUAUAUAUCCAAAAUAAAGUGUCCCACAGCACUCCAGUUAGAUGAAAAAUCAAAGGUGAUUUAUUUUCUCAUAUGUGGCGAGCAACGUUUUGACUGUCUGCACAGUCUUUAUCAAGCAUGUAUAUGUACAUGUAUAUACAUACACAUAUCUAUAUAUAUAUAUAUACAUAUAUAUAUAUAUUUCCUCAUCGUCCCCUACGGCAGCACAGAAGGGUAAUGCGGUCUCCAGACCACCCACCAGGACCGCCCAUCUAGAUAUUAGCAUAAAUAAUUAUUUUAAUUAACCAAGGUACCAUACCUAUAAAACAACCCCGCAAACUCCCGCACGCUGCCCAUCUAUUCAAGAUUUUGUACAGCCCUGCAGGGUCUUGGCUGCAUCUAUGUCCGUGAGUAUAUGCCAGUGCGGGGUCCUGGCUCUGUCCUGCCACGGUCUGUCAGCGGCAUGGCAGGACUAUAGCCAGUGCGGGAUCCUGGCUUUUAGGAGGUUCCAGUGCGGGGUCCUGGUCUCCGUUAACGGCAGUGUGUUCCAGAGGAAAGAUUGCCGGUGAAGUAUCCUAGCCGUUAUACUCAUGUCUGCUGCCUGCCGCCGCCGCCUAAAGAGGGAUGCUGCGCUGCGCUGUAAGUCUCUGGACCACGGUAAGUGUCAGCCGCUCUCCGGCUUAAUUAUUAUUUGUGAUCAGGGCUUACACAUUCGUGCUCGUGAUAACCAUGAUAUAUAUUUACUUGUAAUGUACACAUUAUAACCUUUAACAUAUCGGUCUGGAGUGUCCCCAAUGACCGCGACAGAGGCCACACCUUUAGAGGGCAUGCCCUGUAAUGUAUGAAAUGAAGAAAUGAAAAGAUGGAAAAAAGAGAGGGAGGGUUGGGAGGGGUCCUCAAAAUGUCACGAACGCCACCUGAUAGGGGGCAGGGGCUAUAUAUAUAUCCCUGCCCCCGCCCACAACCCCUUAUGUGCCACCUUGAUGUGUAGGGGGGUUGGAGAUGUUACCGCCCAUAUCACAAAUACAGCCUAAUUAGGCUUUACACUUGUGAUCAGGGCUUACACAUUCCUGCUUGUGAUAACCAUGAUAUAUAUUUACUUGUAAUGUACACAUUAUAAACUUUUAACAUAUCGGUCUGGAGUGUGUCCAAUGACCGCAACGGAGGCCGCACUUUUAGAGGGCAAAAGUCAAUCUGGUAGGGAAUCAAAUGUUGUAAUCAUGACCAAUGCCCCUACCUUAGCACAAAUCCAAGAUAUAGUCCCGACAUUGAGACAGAAAAUAGGUGAAGCAAACUGACUGGCACAGGGAUCGAUGCCUGGAAACUGAAGAGUUGUGACAGUCAUGCCUCCUCUACACCGAAACCAGAGUUCGGCACUUGAACAGGGUCAGGCUAAACCCAAACCGAUAUCUGCUUGUAGCAUGCGGCCUAACCUCAUUGCAAGAGUGAAACACUAUGACCUGUCGGCCCAAUGAAUCCCAUCAUAUUCCUGCUAAUGAGUGGCAAAAUAGAAACUGUUAGCUAAAUAGGCACAACCAUCGACACCCGAUCGACCUUGGCGGUAACCGCCUUAUUGCCUGAAGAUCAACAAUAUCCGACUACCUUACCUGAAACUAAAUCAAUCCCAAUGCCCCAUUCCUAACUCCACUAGCCUCAUGAGUGGUGUCCCAUUACGAUAAACCCGCCCUAUUGCCAUUAUGUCUGACAUUACCAUUAUUGGUGAAUGCCGAAACUUCUGCUGAACCUAGUCGACGUAUAUAUCACCCUAUACAGUAACCCCCCCGAGCUGCGAUGGCCCCGACA